rnacentral:sRNA from 1 species
GGAAACACAGCUAUUCACAUGCACUUGACAUCUGUCACCUCAGUGGUCGCCACGGUUGACUCUGCUGAUCUGGAUGGGAAGGCAGGCAUCCCCUUCCUCACCGCUCCGUGUCUACCCAUCCUGAAGCUGUCCAUGAGGUCAAAAAGAAAGACUUCAUCCACAGAGGAGAAAAUACAGACAGACCACAGGAGUUACUAGAAAAGAUCAAAUAUACCAAAAAGCAAGGCUUAAUGUAUUAACGUGUAAUUACUAAUUA